AAAUAUCACUUGAUCUCACUCUUUUGUGGAACAUAAUGAACAACAUAAACUGAUGAAUGAAAGUAGAUUCAGAGACUAGGAAACAUUGAACAGACAGUGCAACCUCAGAGAGAAGGCAGGGGAGGCAGGGAGGGAGAAGAAAUCAAA